ACUAAUAAAGUGUCGGGCGCCAACGAGGUUGACUCUGUGCAGAUACUAAAAGCAAUGGCCCAAAUGUGGUUCUUUACAGAGAAUCCCAGAGUUGGACAAUUAGAAGCAAAACACUUAGAAGGCAAAUGAAGGCAAACUGAAAAGGUCAAAGGGACCCAAGGAAAUCCCAUUUUUUCGACCCUUCAAAGAUCUUCCUGGGCGUCGAAACCAUCAUCCUCCUUACUCCUGCCUUCCCAGGAUUUUGUGAAUCCCACUUCCUUAGAAAGUGCCAGCGACUACCACUUGCCCCUCUGCACCCUGUCUGCUCCCCACCCUUCUCCAGUGGUGUGUGAAGUUGCUGCCCACAGUGAGCUCAGACAGAGCGGUUCCCAAGUGGCUGCCACCGUGACCGGAUGCAGACACAAUCCCUGGUUCUCAGCCCAGGCUGGUAUUUUUCGGUUCCAAGGACCACUACUAACACUACCUGACAUCGGUUUCCUGAGCCGCAGGACAACUUGAUAGGAUGCCAUCUAGUGUCCCAACCUUUGCCAGCAACAGAAGUGAGGCAUUACCCAAAAUAAAAUAAAUAGAUAAAAAGAAAGGAGAGGAGAGAAGAGGAAAAGAGAGGAAGAUAGAUGUUUGACUAAUUCAAAACUGAAGCACGAGGGGUUUUCUUCUUUUUUAUGACCACUGCCCUGCAGGAGUUACUAUAGGUGUCCUGCCUGUGUCUCCCUACCCUUACUUCUUCAGUGCACAGUGGCCAGACCACCAGCCACCAGGAUCUGCAUACCUCUUGAGCCACUAUGCCCAGUGUAGGAAGCUGAUGUGAAUUCGUGUCCCCUUUGAGAGCAGCCCUCAACAAAGGACAGAUGUGAAUGUAUAGCAUAAAUAUUCCAGCUCGCUCACUCAGGUAGGAUGACAAAAAAAGCCUGUGUCCAACACUUCCAGAGUUUUCUAAUGGCAUUAAGCUCCAACUGCCCAGAGUGGUCGUUGGCCCAGUUAGGGAUCCUUUACUGGCUGCUUUUCUCUGUGUCUCAAUCCCUACUUCCUUGCCAGGAUUUCCUUCACUUCCCAAGUAAACAAGUAAACCAUGUGCUUUGGAAUCUUUGUCUCAGGAUCUCCUAAGCAAACGAAACCUCUCUGUGGUACGCUCCAAAAAUGGCCACCUCUCCCUCUUUCUUUACCCCAAGGAUGUUACAGCCCCUCCCAUCAAGCGGUGGGCCAGCUGUGGGUCUUGCUUUUCACCACCAGAACAUGGCAGAAGUGAUAGCAGGAACCUUGUACACUUCUACUUUUUCCUCAAAACUC